rnacentral:rRNA from 1 species
UACGUAGGGUGCGAGCGUUGUCCGGAAUUAUUGGGCGUAAAGAGCUCGUAGGCGGUUUGUCACGUCUGCUGUGAAAUCCCGAGACUCAACCUCGGGCCUGCAGUGGGUACGGGCAGACUGGAGUGCGGUAGGGGAGAAUGGAAUUCCUGGUGUAGCGGUGGAAUGCGCAGAUAUCAGGAGGAACACCGAUGGCGAAGGCAGUUCUCUGGGCCGUAACUGACGCUGAGAAGCGAAAGCGUGGGGAGCGAACAGG